rnacentral:rRNA from 1 species
GGGAGGCAGCAGUGGGGAAUUUUGGACAAUGGGCGCAAGCCUGACUCCUAGCCAUGCCGCGUGAGUGAAGAAGGCCCUCGGGUUGUAAAGCUCUUUCAGCCGGAAAGAAAUCGUGCAACCUAAUACGUUGCAUGGAUGACGGUACCGGAAGAAGAAGCACCGGCUAACUACGUGCCAGCAGCCGCGGUAAUACGUAGGGUGCGAGCGUUAAUCGGAAUUACUGGGCGUAAAGCGUGCGCAGGCGGUUUUGUAAGACAGACGUGAAAUCCCCGGGCUUAACCUGGGAACUGCGUUUGUGACUGCAAGGCUAGAGUGUGGCAGAGGGGGGUAGAAUUCCACGUGUAGCAGUGAAAUGCGUAGAUAUGUGGAGGAAUACCGAUGGCGAAGGCAGCCCCCUGGGUCAACACUGACGCUCAUGCACGAAAGCGUGGGGAGCAAACAGCAUAUGGUAUGGGGAACUCAAGAUGACGGACCGCACAGCGUGAUAUGUGGAUAUCGAUGCACGCGAGAACCUUACAUACCCUGACAUGCCGAGAAUCCCGAAGAGAUUGUGAGUGCCCGAAAGAGAACUUGGACACAGGUGCUGCAUGGCUGUCGUCAGCUCGUGUCGUGAGAUGUUGGGUUAAGUCCCGCAACGAGCGCAACCCUUGUCAUUAAUUGCCAUCAUUCAGUUGGGCACUUUAAUGAGACUGCCGGUGAUAAACCGGAGGAAGGUGGGGAUGACGUCAAGUCCUCAUGGCCCUUAUGGGUAGGGCUUCACACGUAAUACAAUGGUCGGUACAGAGGGUCGCCAACCCGCGAGGGGGAGCCAAUCUCAGAAAGCCGAUCGUAGUCCGGAUUGUUCUCUGCAACUCGAGAGCAUGAAGUCGGAAUCGCUAGUAAUCGCGGAUCAGCGUGUCGCGGUGAAUACGUUCCCGGGCCUUGUACACACC